rnacentral:lncRNA from 1 species
CGGAAUGUUGGGUGCCCAUAAGUCCAACAAUUUAGAAGCGAGCAACAGUAGGCUUGUAGUCAAACACAAUGACUUUCUCCAGAGCAGGCAAGAAGAGGCCGCCAAAAUCAACAUGAGCUGGAUGACCUAUGUACUCUGCAAUGCCCUCUUUACUCUCACAGGUAGACUCAAAGAUAUGGGUGAAACCUUGAUGCAUGUUCUCAAUGCUCACGUCUGUGCCCCUAUCAUAUCAUGUUGAACGAUAACAAGUGUUAGAUAUUUUCUGGCAGAACCAUCAAAAGUGUUUCAGUGAUCAAGAAACUAAUUGAUCACAGUAAACUCCAAUAUUUUUCAUAUCAAAUUAAUACCAACAACACAAACAUCAACAACCUGGUCAUUUAAUAACAAGUACUUAUCCUGAUUAAUACUUGUUUAUCAUCGUCAAGCUUCGUAUAUGUGAUUGGUGAAUGAUAAUACCUGGAGCUCCAUUCAAAAUUUGAUGAAAAACAUGUAGUCAACUUAUAAUAUUCAUUGAAAUUCCUAUCUAAAUGCCAAGAAGACAACAGUCAAUUAGGCUAGAUGUAAUAUUAAUAUAUACCCUUCUAAACAUCAAGGGAUUUUGUUGUUCUGUUCCCUCUACCAAAUGCAGAAAGAAAGAGAGAUUAUGCAGUAGAAUAUUGUUGAUUACCAUUCGAAAGCUUUCAUGGGUUCGAUGAGAUUGACGAGAUUAGCAUAACCCUUGAUGAGUUUCUCAAUUUCAUCAGAUGGGAUUCCUUCCUUGAAUUUUGCCAACAAUACGUGCUUCACUACUCCUUUUGCUUCUUCCAUGAGAACAGUAUCUCUCUCUCUCUCUCGCUUGCUCUCUGUUUUUGUUUCUUCGAGAUUUCUACCGACACUUAGGGAAUCGGGCUUCUUGAAAACCAAGCUGGACGCCUUUUUGACAUUUUUUUUCCAUUGCACAAGUCUCAUCGAACACCUAGGCAUUCUGUGCCGCGGAUUGAAUUAAUUUGUUUUUAAUAUAAAACAAUAUUUAACUUUAUUAAUAAUAUUUUUAAAAAAAUUAUAAAUUAAUAAUAUAUUGCAUGUCAAAUGAUAUUUUUUUAAAAUAUCUAGAUAUUAACACAUUAAAUAACAUUUUUAUUUAAUAAAAUAGAUCUGGAUUAACCUGUAAAAUUCACGGAAAUAAUCUCAAAAAAAUAAAAUAGAAAUCUCAAUCCUUAAUUAAUUCAAUUUAAAAGAAAAAAAUUAGAAAAAAAACACUCAAUUUUAAAAUAAUAAACAAUUACAUUGCUUAGACGAGACUAGAUAGAAUGACGUUUAUGAAAAUUCCUCAAGGGAUCUGUCACGCCAUUGUCACACCCAUGCACAGAGCAAACACUCCUAACGUACUUCCCCUAGUUAUUAUGGGAUGGACAUCGGUCAUUGUAAUCGUUAUUCUACGCAAAGCCCUCCAGACUCCCAAGGGCUCAACAGACAAAGAGAAAGGAGACAGUCUGUACAUGAGCACACCUAAGGGAAUGUUUAUAGUCCCCAUCAGUGGAGGUUCUCUCCCUUGUCCAAACGCAUAUUGAAAACUUGACUCCCGAAGGACUACUUUUCCAUGAAUAUGAGUUUGGAUAACUAUGACGGCUUAGCCGAUCCAAGAGAGCAUAUGCAAAAUGUGUGUCGUAACUUGGAGUUGAUCAUCGAAGACUAUGACUCAAUGUGCAAGAUAUUCCCUUCAACCUUCAGAAGAUUUGCUUGUGCUUAGUAUAACAACGUGAAACCAAAUUUUAUUAAAGGUUUCAGUGAUCUUUGUGAGAAGCUAGUAGCACGUUUUAGAACUAGUAUACCCACCAAGAGAACCUCCACAUAGCUUUUUUAUGUAGCCCAACAAGAGGGCAAGUCUACAUGAGCAUUUUUUAGGAGAUUCAACGCGGAGAUGCUCAAAGUGGAAGAAUUAAUUGAACCAAUAGCUUCUGAAGCCUUAAUAAGAGGAAUAAGGGAACAUGCCCAAUGGAAAAACUUUAUGUUUUACCAAAUAAAAGCUUGUCCAAAGUAAAGCAAUUCAUAGAAAAUUAUAUAAGGAUUGAAAAGGUCAGCUUACUUUAACAUGGACCUCUUUAUUUAUUUAAGGACAACGAACGUCAACAAUUUUCUAAGGGAAGUAAUCAGGGUACCCAAAAAACAUCUCUUAUACUUGUUACUCAGAUCAUCUCAGUAUGUAUAAUCCUAGAUAAGAAUGUAAGUUUCUUAAAUAUGAAUGACAUAUUCGAAAUGACUUUUUCAUUUUCUCCAGAUGGUCCCUUAAGACGAUAAACCCACCAAACUCCAAGGGAUAAACAUAGUCUCCCCAAUGCUUUAUACACCACUCUCCAAAGGAUUGAUGUGAUCUUCCCAAUGCUAUAUGCAUCAAUAUCUAAGGGAUAGACAUAGUCUUUCCAGUGCUAUAUUCACCACUUACCAAUGGAGAUUACAUCUCCCUAAGGGAAACAACCCCAACAUGGUGUUGUACAAAGAAACAAUUAAGAAUUGUCCCUAGAGGAAAGAGAACAUUAAGGAGGGCCAAUAGGCAUGGAGUGCGGAAAUAUAUGGUAUUAUUAUCCAAUAUCCUUCAGGUACGUAAACGCCUCCCACCUUUUAUCUUAAAAGGAUGACGAUACGUUUUUUUAGCAAAGUUGUCAUCUUAACCUCUCUAAAGCCUUUACAUGCAAAAUCACAUGUUAAAGGCUUGAGGGGCAACUGAUGAGUCAAUUUUAUUAAGUUUUUAUUUAUUUAUUUAUUUUGUAAACGUAUGAGUUUUACAUGUAUGCCAGACCCAAUACACUUGGACUUGGCAGUGCACCAAGUUCAAGGUGGCGUGGGUCUGGCACGCAUGUCAAACCCAAUACGCUUGGAUUUGACAGUUAGCCAAGUCCAAGGCGCCUAGACUUGGCAGUAUGCCAAGUCCAAGGUCAAUACGCUUGGACUUGACAGUGCACCAAGUCCAAGGUAGCGUAGGUCUGGCGCACAUGCUAGACUCAAUACGCUUGGACUUGGCAGUACGGUAGGUCCAAGGUGGCGUGGGUAUGGCACGCAUGCCAGAUUCAAUAUGCUUAGACUUGGAAGUUAAACAAGUCCAAGGUAGCAUGGGUCAAGCAAACAUGUCAGACCCAAUACGCUUAAGGUAGUGUGGGUCUGGCAUUUAAGACACUUGGACUUGGCAGUUCGCCAAGUCCAAGGUGGCGUGGGUCUGGCACGCAUGCCAGACUCAAUAAGCUUAAGCUGGCGUGGGUCUGGCACGCAUGUCAUACCUAAUAUGCUUGGAUGUGGCAAGUAGCCAAAUCCAAGACACUUGGACUUGGCAGUUCGCCAAGUCCAAGGUGUCGUGGGUCUGGCACGCUUACCAUAUCCAAUACACUUGGACUUGGUAGUCAGUUAUGUCCAAGGCACUUGGAUUUCAUAAUGCACCAAGUCUAAGGUAGAGUGGGUCUAGGAGGCAUGCCAGACCCAAUACACUUGGACUUGACAGUCAGCCAAGUCCGAGGUGGCGUGGGUCUGGCACGCAUGUCAGACCCAUUACGCUUGGACUUGGCAAUUUGCCAGGUUCAAGGUGGUGUGGGUGUGGCACACAUGCCAGACUCAAAGUACUUGGACUUGACAGUACGACAAGUCCAAGGAGACGUGGGUCUAACACGCAUGCCAGACCCAAUACGCUUGGACUUGACAGUUAGCCAAGUCCAAGACACGUGGACUUGGCAGUACGACAGGUCUAAGAUUGCAUGGAUCUGACACGUAUGGAAAACCCUAUUUCCAAGCUAGUCAGAUUUUUAAGAUAUCAUCAAUUACGUAAGGUGAAAGUGAAAACAAAGAAAAAAUAAAAAAGGAUGCUACCUACUUUGAAGGCACCAACAUUGGCUUAUAAAAAAAAAUCUCUAGAAAAUACUAAGAUAAACAAGAGAGACUAAUAUCAAGCUCUAUUACAUGACUACUUAUGCAUCAUAUAAAACCUUAAAUAUUAUAAAUUAAGUUUUUUAAAUUACCUAUAAUCUGUAUAAUACCUCAUUUGCACUUAAUUUUGACUAUUAAAACUCUAAAAACUUAAAAAUAAAAGCCAAUAAUUAAAAUAAAAAAAAAUAAUAAAAACACAUAAAAUUCAAAAAAUAUUUUAAUUGGACAUUUGUUAUUUUCUUAUAUUAUAUUUGGUUUCUUUUGAAAAAAUGAUUUAUAUCUUUUGACAAACUCUACUACUAUUAAAAAGGUCUCUAUAAUUAAGAGGUUAAAUAAACUCUUUAUUUAUGUCUAUAUAUUUAAUAUUUGUCAUGCUUAUAUUAAAAAACAACUUUUUAAAAAUAAAAUGAUAUGUGAAAACUAUAAUUUUAAUAUUAUCAAGUUAAAAUUAGGUGAAACGUGAUUAUUAAAAAAAAAUAUGUGUUUUCUUACUUCUUUCAUAAUUAACUGAAGAACAUACUUUAUUUACCCGUGCUGAAAUAUUUGAUUGGACAAAAAUACCUUUAAAAUUUUAGAAUUAUUGCAUGUGUUAAAAAAACUAUGCUAAAUAUAUUGUCCUACUUUUAAAAAACUUGCAUAUAUUGUCUUACUUCGAAAAAUUCUACUUGUCAAAAUUAAAAAGACUUGAAUGCGAUAAUUAAACUCUAUAUCUUAAUAUUUAUCUUAUUUAUUUUAUGUUAAAAAGUCUCUCUUUGAAAUAGAAGCAUUUUUAAGAACUAUAAAGCUAAUAUAAUCAUGCAGGAAUUGAAUUAAAAUUAUGUAUAUGUAUUGUAUAUAUUGAUAGUUUUACUCAAAUUUUGUUUCUUCAUGAUAUUUUAUUAUUAUUUUCAAUUUAUAAAAUUAAAUUAACUUUUUGAUAAAACUUUAAUUGAUACACAAUUGCUUGUGCCAAAACACUAGUUUAGUAAAGAACAUGUAAAAUAUCAGGUAUUACCUAAACACUCUAAAUAAACUAAAGUUUUUAUAGUGUUUUAUCGUUAAUAGUAUCAGUAAAGCAUCUUAAUAUAUUUUUUAAUAAUUUUAUAAUAAAUUUAUAUCACAACUCAGCCUGUUAGUGUGUGUGACAUGUCAGAGAUCUCAGGUUUAAACACUAGAAAGCACAUUUAUUUUUUAAAAUGUGAUAGAAAACAAGUUGUCUAUCACAUUUUUUUUCCUAAAAAACCAAAAAUAAAAAUAAAGCAGGGCCAAACAUUGAACCUGAUUAGUUGCUCUAACUUUUUUUUUUACACUGAGAAAAAUUUACUAGAUUUACUUACGUUUUAGUUUUGAUUUAAUUUUUAAAUACUAUUAUAAAUUUUUAUUUGAAUUUUAAUAUGUAUAUUUUUUCAGUAUCUAAAUAUCUAAUAGACUAAAUGCAUGCUGCAAAGAGGGAAAUUUCUUUAAUGGACAGAUCAUGAUAUCUUUGAUUAAGCACUAAUAAGAGAUGGCACAUUUUCUGAAUUAUGUAGCAGGUUUUAGUUCUUACUGAUAUUUGAGAACUGACAAGGGGCGUUUUGAGCAUGUAACAGCAUGAAUAGGAUAGAGAGAACACAGGCAGAUGCCAACGGACCACAAACAAGCAAAUGAUGCUAGAAUCUCCCAGCCAUUAGCAACACCUACAACAAGCAUAUCUACUCAUCCGCUCCAAAUUACAUUUGAGGAAAACUGCAUAUUCAUUUAGCAGAUUUCUUAACAUCAAUUCACUGCUAUGAGUGCUAUCAGCUGGUCAAAACGUGGAGCCUGAUGAAUGUGAGCAGGCUAGCAAAUGCAAAGCCGAAGAACACAGUUAAAUCCAAUUGAGUUUAACUGUGCAGGUUGUUGAAAGAAAAUGGGCACAUGGCUCUCUGAUGCAAGUCGAUGAAAGAUACCGUGCUGGAGAUCAAGGUAAAUCCACUUCUCAAAUUAUGACCGAACAGAGAAUCUUUACGGCAUCUCAGCACUUGCUCUGAUCAAUUCAAUUUGGUCAGUGCUUGAGCCUGACAAGAAAAGAAAUUGCAUUUCCUGCUGAAAGUUAAAGAUUUUAUUGUGUGAUCAGAAUUCGAAGUACAGAUUCAUGAAAAUCCAUCUCUACGCAGUAGCUGUUCGGUGAUACAAUUGUUCAUAUGUUCUCUUGGCAUCUUUAUGGGUGGAGCCUUUCUAGGGGUUUCAUUAGCUGUGUUAGAAGGAACUACAAGGCUAGGUCUUAUCCACCUUCUGGUCAUCAGCCUGGAUGAAAGAAAGUGAGUUAUAAAACGGGCAUUGAGAGAUUCCACGGCAAUAUGCUAUUGUCAUAUAAUAAGAAAGCACCGAGCAGAGGCCACAUCAAUGGUUCAGUCAUGGUGACCGAAAGAAGAGGAGAAACUCUACAGAAAAAAAUAAAUUGCAGACCUCAACACGUAAAGAAGUGCAAACAAAGCAAAAGGGCUCAACACCACCGAAUGUCAUUGAAUUCAGAUUAGCAAUUCCACAAAACAAGCCGAAAUCAAAUCCUUGGGAGACCACAACAGCAGGAUUUAUUUAUUUCUUUAUAAUACAGCAGCGGAAUGUUGGAUGCCCAUAAGUCCAACAAUUUAGAAGCGAGCAACAGUAGGCUUGUAGUCAAACACAAUGACUUUCUCCAGAGCAGGCAAGAAGAGGCCGCCAAAAUCAACAUGAGCUGGAUGACCUAUGUACUCUGCAAUGCCCUCUUUACUCUCAAAGGUAGACUCAAAGAUAUGGGUGAAACCUUGAUGCAUGUUCUCAAUGCUCACGUCUGUGCCCCUAUCAUAUCAUGUUGAACGAUAACAAGUGUUAGAUAUUUGCUGGCAGAACCAUCAAAGUGUUUCAGUGAUCAAGAAACUAAUUGAUCACAGUAAACUCCAAUAUUUUUCAUAUCAAAUUAAUACCAACAACACAAACAUCAACAACCUGGUCAUUUACUAACAAGUACUUAUCCUGAUUAAUACUUGUUUAUCUUCAUCAAGCUUCGUAUAUGUGAUUGGUGAAUGAUAAUACCUGGAGCUCCAUUCAAAAUUUGAUGAAAAACAUGUAGUCAACUUAUAAUAUUCAUUGAAAUUCCUAUCUAAAUGCCAAGAAGACAACAGUCAAUUAGGCUAGAUGUAAUAUUAAUAUAUACCCUUCUAAACAUCAAGGGAUUUUGUUGUUCUGUUCCCU